GGGCAGGCUGGGCUGCGGUGGAGGGUAACGGAGGAAGGGGUUUCCUCCCGGCGCUAGCUGCAGAACUGGGCUGCUCACCCGCCGGAGCAGUCGAGGCGGAGGUGUCUGAGGGGAGGCGGGCGGCUGCACGACUGCAGCCGAACGAGCCAUGCCGUCUGUGGGCCCUGGGCCGGUGGUAUUGCAGUUAUAGAUGCCUGGAAUGCCAGUGACAAUGGGACAGCCAAUGCCAGGAGUAGUACCCAAUAUGCCUCAUGGUGCAUGCUCUGGAUGUUCUGCAUAUACUGGUACUUAUUCUGCUGCUGCUGACCCCAUGUUGACUUACUCCAGUGCUAUUGCUGGACAGCCCCACAGGUUAUGAGAUGGUUCUGGCUUCUGUGGUGCCGACAUGCACCUUCUCAAGAACAUAGAUCUGCAGAAGCAAUGUAUUGGAAGAUCUCAAUUACAGGAUGGAGAAGCAGAUGCCAAAAAACUGCAGAGAUAUCUAAUGCAGUCUGCAAUCAGUGGAACCCAUUAUUAGUGGCUUCAUUCAUGUUAAGCUGACCACCAGCAGUAUGAGCAUUAGAAAUCGGAGCUUCAUUGAACUUUCACAGUUUCUCAAAAGGAAAAUUAAGAUAAAGGUGUGGUCAUCAUUCCUGAUGUUCUUGCAGUGCACCAUGGCAUUCUGAAUGCUGAACCGCUGGAGGAAAAGAGGAUCACCAACCUGUCAAAGUUCACGUUUGGAAGAACUGCUGUUAAUGGAAGCUGUUGUACAGCUUUUAACCUUCCUGCUUGAUAAGACAAUGCACUUUGAACGAAUACUUCUAAUUUUAAGUGCAUGAUUCACAGCAAUAAAUAUUUUUUGCAUUUU